GAAGACUGGAGUAAUGAUGCUGAAAAUUCAGCUUUGAUUACUGGAAUAAAUUACAUUUUAACAUAUAUUCACAUAGAAAACCCUUAUUUUAAAUUGUAAUAAUAUUUCACAAUAUUGCUGUUUUUUUUUUCUGUAUUUUUGAUCAAAUAAAUGCAGCCUUUAUUAUAAGAGACUUCUUUCAAAAACAUUAAAAAUAGUAAUGUGACUUUUGACCGGAACUGCAUGUGUAUAUUAUAUAUAUAUACACACACACACACACAUAACAUACACAUGUAUACACAUAUUAUUACAUUAUUUUAUGCAUGACACAUUUGUUUACAAUAACAGAUCAACACGUGCAGGUAUGCUCACAAGGACACUCAUAAACACACGAGCACACGGCAUCAGUUGUCAAUUAUUAAACAAACAUGAUCCUGUUCAGAGAGAGAGAGAGAGAGAGAGGCCACAGCCAUUUCACACAUGCACGUCUCACCUUGAACAUCAACACACUCCCGCUGGAUAUUUCCCACAGGAUUAUUCUGCUUCCUGAUGAACUCUGACCGUCACUGAUGGACACAGCCACUCCUCCGAACUUCCCCGAUGAUCCAAGACGGUUUCAUCAAAGGCCUCCUGAUUCAUCUGCACAGAGAGAGCCCUCGAUCUUACCCAGCGUUCCAGCAUACGACUCGGUCAGCAUCCUCACCACUGGCCCAACAAACGACACGGACAGCAUCCAGACAGGCCACCCGGUGACCGACGGCGACAGCAUCCAAACGGCCCAUCCCGCGUACGACACAGACAGCAACCAAACGGCCCAUCUGGCGUACGAGACGGACAGCAACCGAACCCUGAACCCAUCGUUCGACACGGACAGCACACACACCCUCCACCCCGCGUACACGCUGGACAGGGUGACCAUGGAGGGAGUCCCAGGGCCUCCUGGAGGUGAUGGUCCAGCCUCCAGCAUCUCAAUGAAUCCACCUCCAUACAGCCCACCAGAUCCUAAAACAGCCGGCCUCAUGUUCCCCUCACCGAUGAUGCAUUACCCCAACCACCCCGUCAUCACCUGUCAACCUGGAGCCAAUCCGCCAGCUUUCUACCAGCCCUCCUUCCUCCCGCCGUCCACCUACCCGUCCUACACUAUAUACAUGAACGGGCCGCCGUUGGGAGAGGAGCAGCCGGCCUUACCGAAAGACUACCUGGUGGAGUCUCUGCUGGUGACCAUCUUCUGCUGUCUCAUGAGCGGCCUCGUCGCAGUCAUGUACUCGUAUGAAACGCGUGCUGCGCUGACCAGGGGUGAUAUCCGUGAAGCUGAGAAAACGUCCCAGAAGGCUCGUCUGCUUGUCAUGUUCAGUUUGAUGUUUGGCAUAUUUGUUUUUGUGGGCUGGAUUAUUUAUGUAGUGAUAGUGCUCUGUGCAUAGAAACUGUUUUAUCUGUCAGUAGUUAUGUACACUACUGUUCAAAAGUUUGGAGUUGGCAAAAAUGUAUAAUUUUUAAGUCUUUGAAAGACGUCUCUUCUGCUCACCAAAGCUGUGUUUAUUUGAUUAAAAAUAAAAUAAAAACUGUAACCGUUUUCUAUGUGAAUAUAUUGUAAAAUGUAAUUUAUUUCUGUGAUCUGAAUUUUCAGCAUCAUUUCUCCAGUCUUCAGUGUCACAAGAUCCUUAAGAAAUUAUUCUAAUACGCUGAUUUGUGAUUAUUAAACAUUUAUGAUUAUUAAUAAUGUUGAAAGGCUGAAUAAAAAGUAUUUUCUUUAAAAAAAAUAACCUUACUGCCCCCAAGCUUUCGAACGAUAGUGUAAUUGCUGCGAAGAAACUAGUUUUACAGCAUGGAGAUUGUUGUUUGAAGGUGUCAUUUCUCACUCUUUACUAUUAUUCUAAAAUGUGGAAAAUAGUAAUAAAUCAAGUCAUUACAAUUCUGAAAUAACACAAAUGGAAGUAUGGGAAUUGCAUACCAAUCAAAACAUCUGAAAAUGCUGGUCAAACAUUUGACUGUUUGUGUACAAUAUGUAGCAAAUACAGAAAACUGAAACUCCUGUAUAUACAAGUGAUUCUCAUAUUAAAAGCCUGUAAAAGUUGUGAGCAAUUUAAACACUAAAGUCUUACAUUGUAAACAGAUUCACCCCUGACUUCACUGUAUCAAAAAAUAACAUAUUAUAGCAUUUCAUGAUUCAGAAGGAAAUCAUUGAUAGAGUUUGUAUUUACAUUCAAAGGUCUUAUAAGUAAUAACUACCACCUCGGAUUAUGGCAUUUGUUCCUAGAAUCAAAAAUGAAAGACCUUCCUGUCACUGGUAAUAAACCUUGUGCCUUUGUUGACUUUACUAAGUAAAGACUACCAUAAUGUACAAUUACUAACAAACAGAAUUAUGUGUACAGUCUCUAAAUAUUUGUAAUAUGCACUAUUGUGUGAAAGUAAGUAGCACCCUGCAGCGCUCAAUAAAGAAAAAGCUAUUCAUUGUGUUUAAAUUAUCAGUGAAGACCUUGAAAGAGAUAUAUCAAUAAAAUGACUUUUAUUACAUUAUUAAGCCUGAUUCUCUCAGCAUGGUUUGGAGAGCUCGCAUUAAAUACAAUGAAGAGCAAAACAGAGCUGGAAAAACAAGAAGUGACCAACAGAGGGCGUCACUGCAGCUUAUAUGGUUUUUGGCUUAUAUGGGUUGACCAUUAUACAUAAACCACAACGAUUUACAAUAAAAGUAAAAGAAUAAAAACAUCAGAUGUAAAAUAAUACAAUAAAUACUGCACAUUGAACACAAUAUCUAAAUAACGUCACAAUAUCUAAAUAAUGUUUAGCUGCACUUUGGCACUAAAAAAUAAAUAAAUAAACAGGAAGUAAGCUAUAAAGUCAAACUCUAAACCAAGAAAGGUCUAAAAUUAAUUUAAAAUAAAAACAUUAAUAGGCGUCAUAUAAAACAGUGUUGUGCAGUGCAGUGAGUUCAUGAUGGCAUAAAUCAUUCAAGAAUCAAUCAACACACAAAGCAACCUUGGGUUUUAGAAACUACAUAAAUAAAUAAAAAUAUUAUUAUUAUAAUUACAUCAGUCAGAAUAGUUUGAGAGGUGAUAAAGACGAGACUUAAAAGAACAAUGGAAUGUGGCAACAGCAAAUUUCAAAACAAUAAUAGUUACAAUAAAUCAUGUCAAAUUGGGCCUUAAAAAUGGAGAUACUAAUUUUGUUUACAUUUUGUCUAAUUAAAAGAGAUUAAAAAAAAAUACUUAAGUGGCACUUACAGCAGUAAAUCUGAGCAGCUAUUAGUGCGCUAUCAGCUUCCUCAUGCAUGAAAAACAAGUUUUGCCGAAGAAGAAUUUAAGGCUGUUCAUAUUCUAGACACUGCAUGGAAUAUUUUUAACAGCGAUGCUGUUGUAGACAUUAUUUGCAGUGAUCAACGCUUAAGGCUGUUUAAAGGGAUGGUUCACCCAAAAAUGAAAAUUACCCCAUGAUUUAUUCACCCUCAAGCCAUCCAAGGUGUAUAUGACUAUCUUCUUUCAGAUGAACACAAUCGGAGAUAUAUUUAAAAAAUAUCUUUAUAAUGGUAGUGAAUGGGGGGCGAGAUUUUGAAGCCCCCAAAAAAUGCAUCCAUCCAUCGUAAAAAUAAUCCAUCCGGCUCCAGGGGGUUAAUAAAGGCGAAAUCCUCCGACAUUUCUCUUUAAAAUUUCUCGUUUUAGACUUCUAAUUCGUGACCGGUGUUUUGUUUUGCGCUAUCCUUUGCACUUCCGCGUUCGUCAUUGCGUCAUGCGUCAGGUCAAAGGUUACUCUUCCGCCACAAAUCGAUGCGUACGGCCGUCUGCCGGAAGCUAGUUAUAAUAGUUAAUAAAGUUAUAAAUAUGGAUAUUUUUCUUACAAAAACCCAUCGCUUCGCUUCAGAAGGCCUUUAUUAACCCACUGGAGCCGUAUGGAUUAUAUUUAUGAUGGAUAGAUGCAUUUUUUUGGGCUUCAAAAUCUCGCCCCC